rnacentral:misc_RNA from 1 species
AAGUCGUAACAAGGUUUCCGUAGGUGAACCUGCGGAAGGAUCAUUAACACGUAUCCAACGUUAAACAACCCUGUGAACCUUGAACGUGCUCCUGCAGCCCCAUGAAAUCAGCAAUCCCUGGUAAAUCAUUGUUGACCAGCUUUUGAGUCAGGGACCUCUGCCGAAACCCCUGGGACCCGGUUGCCGGCCGUGUGGGCCUCUAGCAAUCGUUUACUGCGCCAUCCUUACACAAUCAAUGACACUUUCAGACACUGAUCGCUUGGGGAUGCCAGGUCGCUUACACCGCGCUCGGUACUGAACAGCCCCUUUAUCACCCCACAGUUUCCGACUGGGCAGCCGAUAAUACGGACGCCGUAAAAAACUGAACAACUGUUAACAAUGGAUAUCUUGGUUCUC